rnacentral:rRNA from 1 species
CGGGUGAGUAACGCGUGGGCAACCUGCCUUAUACAGGGGGAUAACAGCUGGAAACAGCUGCUAAUACCGCAUAAGCGCACAGUGCUGCAUGGUACAGUGUGAAAAACUGAGGUGGUAUAAGAUGGGCCCGCGUCUGAUUAGCUGGUUGGGAGGGUAACGGCCUACCAAGGCGACGAUCAGUAGCCGGCCUGAGAGGGCGGACGGCCACAUUGGGACUGAGACACGGCCCAGACUCCUACGGGAGGCAGCAG